rnacentral:misc_RNA from 1 species
GAUGAAGAACGUAGCGAAAUGCGAUAAGUAAUGUGAAUUGCAGAAUUCAGUGAAUCAUCGAAUCUUUGAACGCACAUUGCGCCCGCCAGCAUUCUGGCGGGCAUGCCUAUUCGAGCGUCAUUUCAACCCUCGAGCCCCCCCCGGGGGCCUCGGUGUUGGGGGACGGCACACCAGCCGCCCCCGAAAUGCAGUGGCGACCCCGCCGCAGCCUCCCCUGCGUAGUAGCACACACCUCGCACCGGAGCGCGGAGGCGGUCACGCCGUAAAACGCCCAACUUUCUUAGAGUUGACCUCGGAUCAGGUAGGAAUACCCGCUGAACUUAAGCAUAUCAAUAAGCGGAGGA